CCUCGGGCGGCAGCAGUGGGGAAUAUUGGGCAAUGGACGCAAGUCUGACCCAGCAACGCCGAGUGAAGGAAGAAGGCUUUCGGGUUGUAAACUUCUUUUAAGGGGGAAGAGGAGUAGACGGUACCCCUUGAAUAAGCCACGGCUAACUACGUGCCAGCAGCGGCGGUAAUACGUAGGUGGCAAGCGUUGUCCGGUUUUACUGGGUGUAAGGGGCGUGCAGCCGGGCCGACAAGUCAGAUGGGAAAUCCGAGGGCUUAACCCGGGAAAUGCAUUUGAAAAUAGGGGUCUUGAGUGCCGGAGGGGAAGGCGGAAUGCCUGGUGUAGCGGGGAAAUGCGUAGAUAUAAGGAGGAACACCGGUGGCGAAGGCG
rnacentral:rRNA from 1 species